CUGACACCAACUGGCAGUGCAUAGGCCUGCUGUUCUACACAUUAUCUUCAUUGGGGAGAAAACAGGAGACAAGGAAGAUUUAGUUGGAACUGGUUUUAAAAUGGGCUUCAAAAUUUCAAGAGCAAGAUUAAGGUGUCUUCAUAAAGGUUUGGCAAGCUGGCCUCAAAUUUAGAGGUACAUACCGAAAACUUACUUGCAGCAUGACAACAGAACUGGGUUUCUGUCCUCUGAAACUGCAUGCCGACAGUGACCAGUUGGUCCUUCUCCGCUCCCUUCAGUGUUUCAGAGAGCCUUAUCCUCAAGCAAAGACCACUUGGAUUGGCUCAAGGAACAAAACCAGA